rnacentral:hammerhead_ribozyme from 1 species
GCACUGCUGAAGAGUCCAAUACUAGGACGGAACGACCGUCCAGUGC